rnacentral:misc_RNA from 1 species
UGAAUCAGAGGAAUGGCAUUUCCCUCAAGCCCUGGCAUUUGCAGCUUCUGGAAUCAGAGGCUCAUCUGUUGUUGCAAUUACAUGUGACAAAGAAAUUCUUACAGGUGGCCAUGUAGACAACAGCGUACGGCUGAUAUCAUCAGAUGGGGCAAAAACUUUAGAAGUAGCCAGAGGACAUUGUGCUCCUGUAACAUGCCUGUCUUUGUCUUCAGAUAGCAAUUAUCUUGUAACAGGGUCUAGAGACUCCACCGUGCUUCUCUGGAGAAUAAAUAGGGCGUCAACACUGCACAGAAGCAGCACAUCAGAGGCUUCCACUGGUUCAAGCACACCUUCAACCAGUACUACACCAAACAGCUUGAGAGAUAAAAGUAAGAGGCAUCGAAUCGAGGGUCCCAUACAUGUCCUACGAGGCCAUCUUGGGGAUAUAUUAUGUUGCUGUGUUAGUUCAGAUCUUGGUAUUGUGGUUUCAUGCUCCAAUUCGUCAGAUGUUUUGCUACAUACCAUAAGAAGGGGUCGAUUGGUCAGAAGGCUGGUUGGAGUGGAGGCACAUUCUGUCUGUCUGUCAUCUGAUGGAAUUAUAAUGGCUUGGAACAAGUUCCAUAAAACACUAAGCACCUUUACUCUUAAUGGGAUUCUUAUUGCUAGAACUCAGUUUCCUCUCUGCUCCACCAUUAGUUGCAUGGAGAUUUCUGUUGACGGACAAAAUGCUUUGCUUGGGGUAAAUCCAUAUUCUGAAAAUGAUGGACCAUCGGACAACAAGUUGCAAAAGCCAGAACUUGGAGAUUCUGAUGGAGAAUUAGAUGAAAACAGUGAAGGAAAUAGAUUAGAUAUCUCUGUCCCUUCAAUCUGCUUCCUCGACAUUUUUACUUUAAAGGUAUCUCACAUUAUGAAGCUUGGA